UCGAAUGGAAUCCAAUCCAAGGCCUACCGAUAGCAUUCUCCAAAGUUCUCUUGUAAAGCUUUCUUAUAUGCAAUAUAAAAUAUUUUUUCUUAAGCGCUCUCUUGCUCCUUACUAAGCUUUCUUUCUAGCUAGUUUUUGUGGUGUUUACUUGGUGAAAUGUUUACUUAAUAACUUUAUAGGGAGAUUGUUGUCUAAGGCCAAGGCCAAGGCCGCACGGUGGGCUUAGAAUUUUCUAAGGUCGUGAUACUUAGUCAAACUUGACUGAGGCAUGCCUUAGAUUACAUUUCCCCAUACACAUUUACUUCAUCCGUCCUCAAACGGAUAACUAAAAGUAUAAUUUUUUUUGUCCCCAAAAGGAUGAGAUCGAUAAAGUAUAUAAAUUGAAUGGUAAAUAUGUCAUUUAGUGGAGUCCAUUGGUAUAAAAACUAAAACUAUUGGCCACUUGAUAUUAUUUUGUGGGUCACUAAGGAUAAAUUUAAAUUUUUUUUACUCUCUUUCCUCUACUUUUAAUUUUUAUAAUAUAUGUGUUGGGUCUCCAACUUUUAAGAAAUAUUUUAAUAAUAACAAUAAUUAGGAAAAAUAUUAAUUAAAGGGUAUAAUCCUCUCCAUAUGUUCUAUUUAUAUAUUAUACUUGUUUAUCUUAUCUAUUUUUGACCAAAAAUGUUUUCUCGUCUUAAAUUGAAUCAAUAUUUUUCUUGACCUUGAUAAUUUAAUAUCAAGUGUUAGAAAUAUUAAUUCAUAGAUUAACAUUUUUAAAGGCAAUGAGAAUUCCUAUUAUUCCUACAAUGAUUUUUCUUUUUAACAAUUUUUUUCAAAAUAAUAUAUGAUACUUUGUUCCAUCCAAAUAGAGAAAGGGAGAUUGGGCAUUAAGGUAUGUUAGUAAUUUUCGUGGGUCCAAUUUGGAAAUUUGUCAUUAACCAAAUGCUGCAUUUGGCUUGAAAUAUGAAUUAAACAUUAAUUGGCCCAUAUGUUUUAAUUGAAAAAGUCUAUCAAGGCUUGGUUUUUUUAACCAAUGGUUUGCAAAUGGAGCAUUAAUUAAAUGCAUGUGCUGGCAAAUAUUUGUUAGACAAAUUCAUUGCUUUCCAUCUAUGUGUCCAUUCAUCCGAACCUCUCCUUUUCGAACAAUUCAUCCGAGUCAUUAAUUUCAAAAAUAAAUUCUCAAUUUACAAGUUUGUCCUUGGCUCAACAAAUCUUAUAAAUACGAAAGCUUCUUCUCAUUUACAAUUCGCCAAUUUUCAAAAACAAAGAAAAAGUUUUUUCUCUCCUUAUCCACAUAUUCUCUAUCUAAAAAGUUUUAUCACUUCUGC
rnacentral:lncRNA from 1 species